AUGAAACUCGCAAAGUGAAGACCCCGCCCCCACAAAUCAAACGCCCCAGCGCUGUCUCGCCUUCCUCUUUCCCCCCACUUCUCCCUAGUCCAAAUCGUUGCAGUCUCCCUCCCGGUGCGGCGACGGCGCCGGAGCUGCCGCCGGCGAUGUUCCUGGAGCAGAUCCUCCCGCACCUACGGGGCGAGGUUCGCCCGAGACGCCUCCUCCAUCGGCCCUCGCGGCCGAAGGUCUCGUUAAUUCCCUCCUGGUCUGUGCUCUGACGGACUGACGGGUGUUUUUGCGUGGGUUUUGUGUCGCCAAUGCAGCGCCGCUGGGGGGGUGGGGUGAUGCGCGAUCUGGACGUCUCCCUGCGUGACCAGGUUCGUCCGGCGCUACUGCCGACCUUCUUCUUCUUGUUCGUGGUGGCAGGCUGCGGGUUCCUGAUUUGGGGCGGGUAAAGUUGCAGGGCCCGGUGCACUCGGUGGAGGAUACCAUGUUCCGAAGAUGCAGCUUGUUCGCGUCCGUGGCCCGCAUCGUGAGCGGCGCGGCAUCAGGUCUUGGUGGAGGAUUGCUCGCUCUCUGGUUUGCCACGGGACAAGGUGACCGAUUGCUUCAUUUGUGGCCGUAGCAAAUGAGAACCAAUCACCAAAAAAAUUCUUUUAUGCUGGGCACAGUUACUUUGGGAGAUACAAAUUUGUGUUAAAUUCUGGAUACUACCCCCGUUCGGUUUACUUCGCAAAAAAGAAAAACUAUGCAUGUAAGAAUGUCUUAGCAAACAUACAUGUUAAGUGAUAUAUACCAGUUUUGGUACAAAUUUACAAUGUUUUGGAUAGUCUUUGCUGUUACUCUGCAUAUAGAAAUGAUAGAGUGAACUUUUAUAAUACCUGCAAAAGGAAAAGAGUGAACUUUUACAAAAUUGCGAUAUUAUGGAAGUGGUUUUCAAGGUAAACCCAAAAGGUAUUAAUUUCACGCCACCAAACUGAAUAUCUUCCAGUAUAAUGUGUAGCUAAAGAAGUUUUUUAUAUUGUAUUUAUACGCACAAAGAUACGCCGCCUAUUUAGGAACAAGGGUACUAUAGUUGUUAGCUUAUGCCCCCAGAUAUUUGGUAAGCUAUUCAAAACAGAACACCACCUCAAUCGAACGCCUAUUUCAAUUCAGGCAAAAUGAAACAAAUAACCUUCGGUGCAGAAGUGCUGAACAGAGUAAAAGCACGUGUUAUCCUCCUUUUCAGAAAAUAACAAGUCUCGAACAGAGUAAAAGCUACACAACUAGUAUUAUUGUUGAGUUUGCUGCUGCAGGGACUUGCCGUUGGUAUCAUACAUGCACAUGCUUACUUCUACUCUUUUGUGCAGUUCAGAAAUUGCUUGGGGUUCCACUUUCACGUCCUCCUGGAAUACUGAUGUUGGGCUAUGGUUGCGGUAAUCCUAAAUGCUUUUAACCUGGUCACUGGCCCCUGUAAAUUUGUAUUGAUAAUGACAGUCUGUAAAAGCAUUUAUGUAUAUGCACUAAUAAGUAGUAGAACCUUUUAAAUUUUGGGUUUUAACUAAAUCUGCU
rnacentral:lncRNA from 1 species